ensembl:lncRNA
AUGACCAUUCAUCAUACACUGCACCCUCGCAGUGAUGUUAACCGGCUAUAUCUGCCUAGAAGAUCAGGGGGCAGAGGACUCUUACAAGUCAAACAAGCAGUCAAAGAAGAAGAACAUGCCCUGGCAGAAGAUGUAAAGCAAAGUGAAGAACCUGCUUUGAUUGAAGUCAAAAAUCAGAAACUCCUCAAAGCACAGCUGACAAAAAACCAGUACAAGAAAACCGCACUACAAACUAGAGCUGACAGCUGGCACAACAAAACAUGGCAUGGAAAGUUCCUUGACAAAAUUGAAGGAAAAGCUGAUAAGGAGAAGACCUGGCUCUGGCUCACAAAUGGGACCCUGAAGAAGGAGACAGAAGGCCUGAUCCUUGCAGCCCAGGAGCAAGCCGUCAGAACAAAUGCAGUUAAGGCCAAGAUCGAAAAAACAGCUGAUGACCCAAAAUGCAGACUGUGCAAGGAAGCUGACGAAACCAUUGAUCAUCUCCUCAGCUGCUGUAACAAAAUCGCACAGACAGACUACAAACAGAGGCACAACUAUGUGGCCCAAAUGAUUCAUUGGAACUUAAGCCUCAAGUACCACCUUCCAGCAGCAAAGAACUGGUGGGAUCACAAACCUGUAAAAGUAUUGGAGAAUGAGCACGAAAAGAUACUGUGGGACUUCCGAAUCCAGACUGACAAAGUUCUGGAACACAACACACCAGACAUCACAGUUGUGGAAAAGAAAAAGGUUUGGAUCAUUGAUGUUGCCAUCCCAGGUGACAGUCGCAUUGACGAAAAACAACAGGAAAAACUCAGCUGCUAUCAAGACCUCAAGAUUGAACUUCAAAGACUCUGGCAGAAACCAGUGCAGGUGGUCCCGGUGGUGAUCGGCACACUGGGUGCUGUGCCAAAAGAUUUCAGCCGGCAUUUGGAAACAAUAGACAUUGACAAAAUUACGAUCUGCCAACUGCAAAAGGCCACCCUACUGGGAUCUGCGUGCAUCAUCCGAAAAUACAUCACACAGUCCUAG